UGCAAGUCGAACGCGUUGGCCCAAUUGAUUGAUGGUGCUUGCACCUGAUUGAUUUUGGUCGCCAACGAGUGGCGGACGGGUGAGUAACACGUAGGUAACCUGCCCAGAAGCGGGGGACAACAUUUGGAAACAGAUGCUAAUACCGCAUAACAACGUUGUUCGCAUGAACAACGCUUAAAAGAUGGCUUCUCGCUAUCACUUCUGGAUGGACCUGCGGUGCAUUAGCUUGUUGGUGGGGUAACGGCCUACCAAGGCGAUGAUGCAUAGCCGAGUUGAGAGACUGAUCGGCCACAAUGGGACUGAGACACGGCCCAUACUCCUACGGGAGGCAGCAGUAGGGAAUCUUCCACAAUGGAC
rnacentral:rRNA from 2 species